GAUGAACUGUGGGUAGCGGAGAAAUUCCAAUCGAACCCGGAGAUAGCUGGUUCUCUCCGAAAUAGCUUUAGGGCUAGCCUUGAAAUAGAUUACCGGAGGUAAAGCACUGAAUUGGCUAGGGGCCGAGAGGUUACUGAACCUUAUCAAACUAAGAAUGCCGGAUAAUCGUUUUUCAGGAGUCAGACAGUGGGAGAUAAGUUUCAUUGUCAAAAGGGAAACAGCCCAGACCCACAGCUAAGGUCCCCAAGUAUAGUUAAGUGGAAAAGGAUGUGGAAUUGCACAGACAACCAGGAUGUUGGCUUAGAAGCAGCCACUCAUUUAAAGAGUGCGUAAUAGCUCACUGGUCGAGUGAUUCUGCGCCGAAAAUUUCCGGGGCUAAAACUUACUACCGAAGCUACGGCAUCAUUAUGAUGGGUAGGGGAGCUUUCUAUGCGGCUUGAAGCAUGACCGUAAGGACAUGUGGACUGCAUAGAAGUGAGAAUGUUGGCAUGAGUAGCGAGAUGUGGGUGAGAAUCCCACAGGCCGUAAACCCAAGGUUUCCAGGGGAAGGUUCGUCCGCCCUGGGUUAGUCAGGACCUAAGCCGAGGCCGAAAGGCGUAGGUGAUGGACAACAGGUUGAUAUUCCUGUACCGCCAAUAAGCGUUUGAGAGAUGGAGUGACACAGUAGGAUAAGCUAACCGCACUGUUGGUUAUGUGCGGGCAAGUAUUGAGGCAGUUCCGAUAGGCAAAUCCGUCGGAAUAAUGCUGGGGUACGAUGCGGAGCGAAAUUUAGUAGCGAAGUAGCUGAUUUCACACUGUCGAGAAAAGUCUCUAUCGAGGUUAAAGGUGCCUGUACCGCAAACCGACACAGGUGGGUGAGGAGAGUAUCCUAAGGCCAGCGAGAGAACUGUUGUUAAGGAACUCGGCAAAAUGACCCCGUAACUUAGGGAGAAGGGGUGCCUUCGAAAGAAGGCCGCAGAGAAUAGGCCCAAGCGACUGUUUACCAAAAACAUAGGUUUCUGCUAAGUCGCAAGACGAUGUAUAGGAGCUGACGCCUGCCCGGUGCUGGAAGGUUAAGGGGAUCUGUUAGAGCAAUCGAAGCAGUGAACUUAAGCCCCAGUAAACGGCGGCCGUAACUAUAACGGUCCUAAGGUAGCGAAAUUCCUUGUCGGGUAAGUUCCGACCCGCACGAAAGGCGUAACGAUUUGGGCACUGUCUCAACAACAGACUCGGUGAAAUUGUAAUACCGGUGAAGAUGCCGGUUACCUGCGACAGGACGGAAAGACCCCAUGGAGCUUUACUGUAGCUUGACAUUGAGUCUCGGUGCUACAUGUACAGGAUAGGUGGGAGACUAUGAAGCAUGGACGUCAGUCUGUGUGGAGUCAUCCUUGGGAUACCACCCUUGUAGUACUGGGAUUCUAACCAGAGGCCAUGAAUCUGGUCUUGGGACACUGUCAGGUGGACAGUUUGACUGGGGCGGUCGCCUCCCAAAAGGUAACGGAGGCGCUCAAAGGUUCUCUCAGUACGGUCGGAAAUCGUACGAAGAGUGUAAAGGCAAAAGAGAGCUUGAUUGCAAGACAUACAGGUCGAGCAAGGACGAAAGUCGGACUUAGUGAUCCGGUGGUUCCGCAUGGAAGGGCCAUCGCUCAACGGAUAAAAGCUACCCUGGGGAUAACAGGCUGAUCUCCCCCAAGAGUCCACAUCGACGGGGAGGUUUGGCACCUCGAUGUCGGCUCAUCGCAUCCUGGGGCUGAAUUCGGUCCCAAGGGUUUGGCUGUUCGCCAAUUAAAGCGGCACGCGAGCUGGGUUCAGAACGUCGUGAGACAGUUCGGUCCCUAUCUGUUGCGGGCGCAGGAGAUUUGAAGGGAGCUGUCCUUAGUACGAGAGGACCGGGAUGGACAGACCUCUGGUGCACCAGUUGUCGUGCCAACGGCACAGCUGGGUAGCUACGUCUGGACGAGAUAAACGCUGAAGGCAUCUAAGCGUGAAACUCCCCCUAAGAUAAGAUCUCCCAUCCAUUAGGAGUAAGGGACGACAGAGACUAUGUCGUUGAUAGGUCGGAAGUGUAAGUGCAGUAAUGCAUUGAGCUGACCGAUACUAAUAACCCGAGGGCUUGACCU
rnacentral:rRNA from 1 species